rnacentral:rRNA from 1 species
UACGGGGGGGGCAAGCGUUGUUCGGAAUUACUGGGCGUAAAGAGCGCGUAGGCGGUCCGAUAAGUCGGCUGUGAAAGUCAGGGGCUCAACCCUUGAAAGCCGGCCGAUACUGUCGGACUAGAGUCCGGAAGAGGCAAGUGGAAUUCCCGGUGUAGCGGUGAAAUGCGCAGAUAUCGGGAGGAACACCAAUGGCGAAGGCAGCUUGCUGGGACGGUACUGACGCUGAGGAACGAAAGCUAGGGGAGCAAACGGG